UCCUAACACUCCUGAGAUUUGCAUCCCCGCAGACGCCAGGCGCGGCGCUGCCCCAGGAGGUGGGGUGUUUAGAACCCGCUCCCCGGGCUCGCCCAGGAGCUUUGUGUUUAGUAAAGGCAGCAGUCAGUUCCCUGGUAGGCUCAGGGAAGGACGACAGCUCCCGGCUCAGUCCUCAGCCUCCAACCCCCACUCUUCAAUCUCCUUCCCAGACCAAUGACCCCCUCUGCGGGAGAACCUGCGGCGAAAGGCAGAGCCCCAGAGCAGGGUCUGGAGUGGCAGGACCGGCAGCCAAUGAAGGUGAAGGCCGAGCAUUACAUCAUCACCGUGGUCUCCCAUUGGUUUACAUCCUGGGCUUCCUGACUCCGCCUCCCAGCCUUAACAAUGGGCCUCUCUGCUCCCCAGGCUUCUGACCCUGGUGCCAGCUUUGCCCAGAAGGCCACAGUCGGGCAGAGUCCUGGGCUAGGCGGGAGCCCGAGGUCUGGGCUGAGCCACUAACUAGGGAGGACAAUGAAUCCAGGCAGUGAUCCACCAAUGAUAACUAACAUCAUAAAAAGAUACAUGGCCGGAUAUGAUGUUCCUUCUGACGGAAGACCACAACACCUGCUGAAAAAUCAAAUCUGAAUCGGAUCAAGCCUCUAGAGACUGACCCUGCUUAUUUCUGUGAACCAACCAGUGAUCUCUGGCUACUGCUCAGAAGAAACAGAGGGUUUGACACAGACAAGCAAGGUGAAGAUGGUGGAGCCACAAUGUGGAAGGAGGUUGGAUCCCUGAAUCACCACUGGGAAGAGAGUCACCUGCUAAUCAAAAACAUGGUUUUGGAUUUUACCUGAAAACUUAUAAACUUCUAUCAUAUUUGACCCAUUGUCCAUUUCAGGGUUUGUUUGUUGUAGCAACAAACAUUAUCCUAAUUAAUACUGUGUUCAAGAAAUGUGACUUCUUCCUCCCACUUUCCUCUUUCUCAUCCCUCUUGACCCAGCUCAAAAUGCCAGCUCCCUGGUAAGUCUUUCUCCCACCCCUUCAGGUAAAAGUCAUCAUGCAGUCUUUGGUGCUCUCAGAGCACUUAGUGCUAGCCCUUUCUCGAUCACAAACUGGGUUGUGAAUUCUUUGUUUACACAUCUUUCUGGCCAUCAGUGCAGUGAGGUGUCUGGUCCAGAGCCAGUUCUCAGAAGGGG
rnacentral:lncRNA from 1 species